GACGAACGCUGGCGGCGUGCUUAACACAUGCAAGUCGAGCGGUAAGGCCCUUUCGGGGGUACACGAGCGGCGAACGGGUGAGUAACACGUGGGUGACCUGCCCUUAGCUCUGGGAUAAGCCUGGGAAACUGGGUCUAAUACCGGAUAUGACUCCAUGACGCAUGUUGUGGGGUGGAAAGCCUUGUGCGGCUAGGGAUGGGCCCGCGGCCUAUCAGCUUGUUGGUGGGGUGAUGGCCUACCAGGGCGACGACGGGUAGCCGGCCUGAGAGGGCGACCGGCCACACUGGGACUGAGACACGGCCCAGACUCCUACGGGAGGCAGCAGUGGGGAAUCUUGCGCAAUGGGCGAAAGCCUGACGCAGCGACGCCGCGUGGGGAUGACGGCCUCGG
rnacentral:rRNA from 1 species